rnacentral:rRNA from 1 species
UGGUGAAUAUUGCACAAUGGGCGCAAGCCUGAUGCAGCCAUGCCGCGUGUAUGAAGAAGGCCUUCGGGUUGUAAAGUACUUUCAGCGGGGAGGAAGGGAGUAAAGUUAAUACCUUUGCUCAUUGACGUUACCCGCAGAAGAAGCACCGGCUAACUCCGUGCCAGCAGCCGCGGUAAUACGGAGGGUGCAAGCGUUAAUCGGAAUUACUGGGCGUAAAGCGCACGCAGGCGGUUUGUUAAGUCAGAUGUGAAAUCCCCGGGCUCAACCUGGGAACUGCAUCUGAUACUGGCAAGCUUGAGUCUCGUAGAGGGGGGUAGAAUUCCAGGUGUAGCGGUGAAAUGCGUAGAGAUCUGGAGGAAUACCGGUGGCGAAGGCGGCCCCCUGGACGAAGACUGACGCUCAGGUGCGAAAGCGGGGGGAGCAAACAGG